rnacentral:rRNA from 1 species
AGAGUUUGAUUCUGGCUCAGGAUGAACGCUAGCUACAGGCUUAACACAUGCAAGUCGAGGGGCAGCAUAGUCAAAGCUUGCUUGAUUGAUGGCGACCGGCGCACGGGUGAGUAACGCGUAUCCAACCUUCCCCUUAGUAGGGCAUAGCCCGGCGAAAGUCGGAUUAAUACCCUAUGUUGUGUCAUGAGGACAUCUGAAUAACACUAAAGAUUUAUCGCUAAGGGAUGGGGAUGCGUCCGAUUAGCUUGCCGGCGGGGUAACGGCCCACCGGGGCGACGAUCGGUAGGGGUUCUGAGAGGAAGGUCCCCCACACUGGUACUGAGACACGGACCAGACUCCUACGGGAGGCAGCAGUGAGGAAUAUUGGUCAAUGGGGCGAGAGCCUGAACCAGCCAAGUAGCCGUGCAGGAUGACGGCCCUAUGGGUUGUAAACUGCUUUUAUGCGGGGAUAAAGUGACGUACGUGUACGUUUUUGUAGGUACCGCAUGAAUAAGGACCGGCUAAUUCCGUGCCAGCAGCCGC